rnacentral:lncRNA from 1 species
CCACACCAGAUCCUUCUCCAUAUUAAAAAAUAUGUAUAGUCCUUCAGUAUAGUUCAUGAGAGAAAACAACAACAAAAGAAUUUUCUUAAUAAUGGUACUAGAGUCAGGAAGCAGGCCGUGGGAUCCCAGGGGAGAGCGGGUAGGUAGAUACAGCUACAGCCAUAGCAGUCAGCUUGUACCCCUGGAGUGCAGUGGUUGAGAUGGAGAAGUCAAUUACCAGGCAGCACAGCUGUUUUUUAAAACUUUCUCCUGAAAGCAGGGACGUUGUUCACACUAAUGCUAACGGUCGUCCAGCACCGGCUGCCACGUUGCCGCAGCUGGAAAUGGGGGCUUCGGCAGUGAUUCCUGGAGCGUAGGUCCGCUUUCUUGCUAGACUCUUGCCUAAGUUCAGUAUGAUGUCAUCCUGAGUGUGUCUGUUUCCUCACAGUUUGAACAGGAAAAUCAGCGACUAAUUGGUGAAAUGAACAGCUUGUUUGAUGAAGUGAGGCAAAUCGAAGGGAGAGUGGUUGAGAUUUCCAGACUCCAAGAGAUAUUCACGGAAAAGGUUUUGCAACAGGAAGCUGAGAUUGACAGCAUUCACCAGUUAGUUGUGGGGGCAACUGAAAAUAUCAAGGAAGGCAACGAAGACAUAAGAGAGGCCAUUAAAAACAACGCUGGCUUCCGCGUGUGGAU